AGGCUCCCCAUCCUUCGUCUUAGUCCCCGCGAGGGUGAUGCAACCUUUGCCAUCCUGAGGUUGCGAGGCUGCCGAGGCCGCCUUCUGCGCGGGAGGACUGACCCCUGGCGGCCGACGCAGACAUUGCGGGCUUGGUGCUUGGACUCAACUUCUGAGCUGUGUUGCAUCAGCCAACGGGGCCUACGGAAGCUGAAUAAUGCCGCAGGCUUUCCGCCACCCUGCGGGCCGGGGAGUUGGGAGGCGUGGCGGGUGGGGUGAGGGGUCCGAGUCCCAUGGUCUAGGACGUUCAUUUCUCCGAGGCUCGGUCUCUCCUCUGGUGGGACCAUGUCUCGAAGAGGCCCUGGCUUGGCUCCUGGAGCUGGUGGCGGCCAGAGCACCAGGAAGAUCAAGGAGCCAGGGCCACCCUCACGUUUCCUUGGCAACAGCAUCCGUGAUCAGACUCUAAGGCAACUGGGACCCAUGCGUGCUCCCAGGGGGAGGCUGCAGGUUCACGUCGGUGUCCAGUGAUAAAGAAGACAUGGAUACAGCAAGAAGGAAGGAGGCCCUGUGCAUGACACU
rnacentral:lncRNA from 1 species